GGAGGCCCUGCCUGGGCUCAUCUGGGACCUGGGCCAGCAGCUGGGAGACCUGAGUCUGGAGUCUGGUGGCCUGGACCAGGAGAGUGGGCGCAGCUCAGGCUUCUAUGAAGACCCCAGUUCUACAGGAGGCCCAGAUUCACCACCCUCCACCUUCUGCGGGGACAGUGGCUUCUCCGGAUCUGGCUCCUAUGGACGCCUGGGUCCCUCGGACCCCCGGGGCAUCUAUGCCAGCGAGAGACCCAAGUCCUUAGGCGACGCCAGUCCCAGCGCUCCCGAGUCGGUGGGUGCCCGGGUUGCAGUGCCUCGAUCUUUCUCAGCUCCCUAUCCGACGGCAGCCGGAGCUGAAACCUGCUCGUCCGCGGAACGGCGGGCUCGUGCCGGGCCCUUCCUGACACCCAGCCCGCUGCACGCGGUGGCUCUGCGCAGCC